AACAACCCAUGGUCUCGCGCGGAAAUGAGCUAAAUGAAAGAGACGUAUCCGGUAGUUAGUAUUUAUCCGGAAUGCUAGUGCGCAAUGGCGGCAAUAAACAAACGAAGCGGAUACGUUGAAGGAAAAACUUCUUUAUUUAUUUCUUACCGUUAUGUAGACCAGUGAAAAUAAUGAACAACGAUUAAUCGCAUAAAUCCCGUGAAGAAUACAAAACUGAAAGUAGGGCAAACAUAGAUCCCUGGACAUAUCAGAGGUGAGAUCAGUGGAUACUGGGGAUAAAGUAGCAGAAAAUUAUGGAAAACAGGGAAGUAAGUGGCAGCCAGGACUAUGGAGGGGAGGUGACAAUGACAGUGAGAUGGCGUUAGGUUGGACACCAGAAGGGAAGAGGGCAUUUAAGAGACCGAAAACAACCUGGAGAGGAACAGUAGAAGCAGAAAGAAAGAUUGCAGAAUGGAGAAACUUGAAUGAGAUCAAGAUGGUAGCAAUAGAACAGAGUGGGUUGGAGAGAGUCUCGGUCCUAUGUGUUUUGGCAUUGAGAGAACUAAGUAAUGUCUAGAUUGUUGGAGAUAGGAUGACCAGGAAUAUGAAUGGAUGUGCUGGAAACUGUACUAAGACCCUUAUGUAUUUGGAUAGAUUUACAUACCAUCAUGAUUUUGCUAUGAAAAACUUGAAAAAAAUCCUCAACUCAUAUUGUAGCUGACAUUAUACAUUUGUACUUAUUAAUAUUUCAAAUGAACAUAUAUUUAGAUAUACAAUAUCUUAAACUUUGGAGUCCAUGUACAUCUCCACAUUGGAUAAUAGGUUAUGAUAUAUGUGUGUGAAAUCUUUUCCUAUGGUAUGCACAUGUUAACACAUUAGUUUAAAUGAUGAUGUACCGGUAUAUCUUAUGACUAUGGAAGAGAAUGUGAUGUGUCUAGAAGAGUUGUUGCCCUUGAAUGUAAUUCAUUAUUUACAUGGGGUUGAAAAAUAAUCCAGCACACAGUAGUACUAAAUGCAUUAUGUUAAAAUGCAUUUAUGAAUGGUAUAAGUGAUACUGUCAAUUACUGAUUAAUACACUUUGUGAAAUCAUAUUAUUGUUAUGUUUAAUAAAUUUCAAGACUGCA